AACGAACGCUGGCGGCGUGCCUAACACAUGCAAGUCGAGCGCGAAAAGGGCAACCUGAGUAGAGCGGCGCACGGGUGCGUAACACGUGGGUAAUCUGCCUUAGAGUCGAGGAUAACCUUCCGAAAGGUUGGCUAAUACUCGGUAAGCUUACGGUGUCUUCGGACGCUGUGGGAAAGGUAGGCCUCUGUUUACAAGCUUACGCUCUGAGAUGAGCCCGCGGCCCAUCAGCUAGUUGGCGGUGUAACGGACCACCAAGGCAACGACGGGUAGCUGGUCUAAGAGGACGAUCAGCCACACUGGAACUGAGACACGGUCCAGACUCCUACGGGAGGCAGCAGUGGGGAAUUUUCCACAAUGGGCGAAAGCCUGAUGGAGCAACGCCGCGUGUGUGAUGAAGGUUUUCGGAUCGUAAAGCACUUUCGACUGGGACGAAAAACCUUUGGCUAACAUCCAGGGGCCUGACGGUACCAGGAGAAGAAGCACCGGCUAACUCUGUGCCAGCCGCCGCGGUAAAAC
rnacentral:rRNA from 1 species